GAUGAACGCUGGCGGCGUGCCUAAUACAUGCAAGUCGAGCGAACAGAUAAGGAGCUUGCUCCUUUGACGUUAGCGGCGGACGGGUGAGUAACACGUGGGUAACCUACCUAUAAGACUGGGAUAACUUCGGGAAACCGGAGCUAAUACCGGAUAAUAUUUCGAACCGCAUGGUUCGAUAGUGAAAGAUGGUUUUGCUAUCACUUAUAGAUAGACCCGCGCCGUAUUAGCUAGUUGGUAAGGUAACGGCUUACCAAGGCGACGAUACGUAGCCGACCUGAGAGGGUGAUCGGCCACACUGGAACUGAGACACGGUCCAGACUCCUACGGGAGGCAGCAGUAGGGAAUCUUCCGCAAUGGGCGAAAGCCUGACGGAGCAACGCCGCGUGAGUGAUGAAGGUCUUCGGAUCGUAAAACUCUGUUAUUAGGGAAGAACAUACGUGUAAGUAACUGUGCACGUCUUGACGGUACCUAAUCAGAAAGCCACGGCUAACUACGUG
rnacentral:rRNA from 1 species